rnacentral:tRNA from 1 species
GGCUUCGAAGCCGUGUGGUAAGCGGCGUCAAUCAUUUAGGUGUAUUUUGCUACGGACUGUGGGUUCGAUUCCCGCCGAAGUCG